GCUGUGAAGGCAGUGAUGGACCCUCUGGCAAGCCUCUGCUGGCUCCACACCCAGAUCCUGAUGCUUCAGUUCCUUCCUUUUCCUGAUCCACACUCCAGCCCCCAGACUCACCACCAGAACCAUGAUAAGAACUCCUCUCCAAAGCCAUUUGCUCUGAAAAGAACCUGAGGUCAAGGACAACCAGGUGUCAGAUCUGUUUCAACCAGGAGUGGAAGCCAGGGAGAGGAUGGGGGAAAACAUGACCACCCAGGCUCCAUCUGUCUCCCGGGGCCCAACUUUGCUGCAACCCGAAAGAAUGUCCUUUCUCGUACUCUG